AUUCCUACCCUGGUUACUUUUCUCUUUUGCAUUUCUAUAUUUCUCUAUGAAUUACUCAUGAGCUGCUGAAGAUUUAAAAUUGAUUUAAUUUCUCCUCUUUGGUUAUACAAUUGAUUCCUCCUGAUAAGCUACCACAAAUAUAAUUGGGGAAUCUCAUUUUUGAAUUCUAGGGAGAGAUUUUGGAGUAACACAAAUUAUUCAUCUUCACGCUUGCCCAGAAAGGUUAUGGCUUGUGGGGAGAAUGACUGCCAGCUACAUUCUCCUUGCUUUUCUGUUCUUACUCAUUUAGUUUUGAACCAAUCAGACAUAUAGAAAAUUUUCAUAUUCCCCUUGUGAUCUUUAAACCCAUAUUCUGAGGCUAUGUUUCCUCUAACUAGUGCUUUGCAGAUGCUCCUUAAGGGUGUGAAAUCAUAAGGGAACAUGUUCCUAUUGCAAAUCUCUUCACAUGUUUAUGUUCAAUGAUGUUUACUCGUACGAUUUUACCCCCAAGGACCCAUUGAGUUUUGAUCUGUAUGGGAUAAGUUGAUGGGAAAAACUAACUGGACGGACAGGCAGCCUGUUUCUGGACUGUGAUUUAGUUGAUAGGGUCAAGAUGGUAAAAUUGAUUUAGUUGUCCGCUCGAGGAAUGAUUCAUUUUUAACAUGUUUUUUUACUCAAAGGUUUAAUACAUGUUAGAGUUUUCAGAUUGGAUUGUUGUAGAUAUGAGUUUAGACCUAAAUGAUCAACAGGGCAUGUGGUUUAACCUAUACGUGCCAUUGACAAAGAACACUACUAAUGUUAGAAGUCAUUUGGACAUUUUUAUUCACACAGAUGAUUGUAGGCAGCAUGUUCUUAUCAUUAUCUGUAUGGACAUUUUCAUGGUAAAUGAGCUGUGUUGGUAACUUAUAGGUAUGAUUUUAUGUUUCUCAAUUAUUGGACAGUGUUCGGUCACAUAUUGAACUUAUUCUGAACCUGAUGAAAACGACUUAUAAACAAUAAGCUUAUUUCAAGAAGCUAUUAGAAUUUAUCGGUAUCCAUUAUAUAUUUUCUGCUACCAUGAAGUUAUUUUUGCCAGUUGGAAAAUCUACACUCUGGAAAUGGUUUACCUUGAUUUCUUGCCUACUUGAGUCCUCUCUCGCAGUUCAUUGAGUUUCUAUACAAUUCUUCAGUCUGUGGUCAUUGUGUCCAAAUUUUUGCAGGCAUAUCAUAUAGAGAUCUACUGGGGCAAAGAGCUAACAUGGCCACUCUAAGAAGUCCACUACCAUCACCACCACCUCUUUUUUGGCCCCAUUUGGGGCGGCUCUGAUCUUGGCCCCUCCCAAGGGCAUUGCUGGUCCGAAAACAACCUUCAGAUUCUGUAUUGUAGUUGACACAUUUUGUACCUACAAUUGAAAGUUUGUGCCUAUAGUUAUCAUAUUAUGUGUCAGCAAUUAUCAAAUUAUUUGUUUACAUGUACAUUUAACUGUAGGUACAGAAUGUGUUAACUAAAGACAUAAUGUAAUAUAAACCCUGGUCCAUUGUAUAACAAUUGAAGAACUGGAGAGGUGAUGAAAGCAACUGAGAUCUGGUUCAAGGCAUCAUUUUGAUAUUUGUUUUCUUCUAUGCCAAGGGAAGUAGUUUGUUUUCCCAUAUAGAUGAGCAAGGAUGGGACAAUUGUGGUAGGUGGUUCAAUUCUUAUAAAGGAAAGAAAUGUUAGAUUGUAUAUGGUAAUGCUAUCUUGAAAUGAAUAUAAAUUUGUUCACUUUGUAUA